CUGGCUUGCUAUAUGAUUGGGUGCAAAAACCAGAACUGGGACCCGUGUCAGCUAGCCGGACCAAGUAUUUUCUACAGAUUCAUAGCAUUUACAGAGCCACCAUUUCCACCCGCAGUCCCCUUCAAUUUAACAACAGUAAAAAAAAAGGUUAUAAAAAAACAAAAACAGGAAAAAAAGGGAGGUUCUAUUCUAUCGCUUAAGUAUCUCAGUGAGAUCCACUAGCAAUUUGUUAUUUGUGAAAUAUAUCGGAGGGAGAGGCGGUGAGAAGAUGAGCGUCAAAGUACCGGCGACGAGGAGACUUAUUGGGAAGUAUGAAAUGGGUAAAACCCUUGGUGAAGGUAGCUUUGCCAAGGUUAAGGUUGCCAAGAAUGUGGAGACCGGAGAGUCCGUAGCCAUCAAAAUUCUGGACCGUAAUCAAGUCCUCCGUCACAAGAUGGUGGAACAGAUAAAAAGGGAAAUAUCAACAAUGAAGUUGAUCAAACAUCCGAAUGUUAUUAAAAUUAUCGAGGUUAUGGCUAGCAAGACAAAGAUCUUCAUCGUUCUCGAGUUGGUUCAUGGGGGAGAGCUCUUUGAUAAAAUUGCCAAUAAUGGGAGACUCACAGAGGAUGAAGCCAGGAGUUACUUUCAACAGCUCAUUAAUGCUGUAGAUUACUGUCAUAGUAGAGGGGUCUACCACAGAGAUUUAAAGCCUGAGAAUCUUCUUCUGGACUCAUAUGGUGUUCUGAAAAUAUCAGAUUUUGGCUUAAGUGCGUUUUCACAACAAGUUCGGGCGGAUGGACUACUUCACACUGCCUGUGGAACCCCAAAUUACGUUGCACCUGAGGUGCUCAAUGACAAAGGUUAUGAUGGCAGAACAUCUGAUGUUUGGUCUUGUGGAGUCAUUCUCUUUGUACUUAUGGCUGGAUUCUUGCCUUUUGAUGAGCCCAAUCUUAUGGUCUUGUAUAAAAAAAUAUGCAGAGCUGAUUUCUUUUUUCCAUCUUGGUUUUCACCUGCCGCUAGGAAAUUCAUACAGCGUAUUCUUGACCCAAACCCCCUUACGAGAAUAACUAUUCCAGAAAUUUUAAAUGAUGAAUGGUUUAUUAAAGGAUAUAAACCACCACAAUUUGAUAUGGAAGAGGAUGUGAAUCUUGAUGAUGUAGAUGCUGUCUUUAAUGACUCCAAGGAACAUCUUGUAAGAGAAAGGAAAGAGAAACCUGUAUCAAUGAAUGCUUUUGGGCUAAUCUCAAGGGCACAGAGCUUUAGCCUUGAAAACCUGUUUGAGAAGCAGAUGGGUCAUGUGAAGCGAGAGACCCGUUUUUCUUCCCAACGUCCUCCCAAUGAAAUCAUGUCUAAAAUAGAGGAAGCUGCAAAACCUCUAGGCUUCAAUGUUCGCAAGGGGAACUAUAAGAUGAAGUUACAAGGUGAUAAAAAUGGAAGGAAAGGUCAGCUCUCUGUAGCUACAGAGGUAAUGAACUAUUUGAUUCAGAAUGUAUUGACUUAUUUGUUCCCACGUUUACAUGGAAUUUCAUUGUUGCUGGGUAAGAAAAUGGCUUCUUCGAAAACUACAUACAGAAUGUUUAAACUUCUUAUAAAUGAAUCAUUCCAAGUCUUAUUUAAUUAUUGUGGAUACAAAUUAUCUGGGCAAUUUUCUGUUUUUUAAACUUCAGGUAUUUGAAGUAGCUCCCUGCUUACACAUUGUUGAGGUUCGCAAAACUGGUGGUGACACAUUAGAGUUUAACACGUUCUACAAAAACUUUUCAACGGGACUAAAAGAUAUUGUCUGGAAAACUGAAGAAAAUACAGAAGAAUCGAAAGAUACAGGUAAUAUAUACUGAACAUGUAGCUGAUUCUUCUGGUUGUUUUGGUCCAAAUUGCACAAAAUGUACAAAAUAGAUAAAACUAUGUUGUGGUGUUAAGCGAAGUGGAGUUGCAUUAGA